UUAUAUUUUUAGUAUUAAACUAAACCUUAAAUUUCAAAAAUUUAAAUGCAUUAACAAUUAAAUAUA
rnacentral:tRNA from 1 species